GCCAUCAUACUAGUACUAAUGCACUGGAUCCUAUCAGAACUCCGCAAUUAAGCAUGCUUGGGUGAGAGUAGUACUAGAUGGGUGACCCCCCGGGAAGUCCUCGUGUUGCACCCU